GAACUGUGCACUAAGGGUGCCUCGAACCCCGCCAGGUCCGAAAGGAAGCAACGGUAAGAGGUGGCUCUUAGGUGCCGCAGUGUACCUGAC
rnacentral:SRP_RNA from 1 species